GUUUUACAGACUACUUAACUGGUUCCCACAGUGGGAAUCACAAUGGUCUGGCCCAGUCUCUUCCAGCAAUGUGGCCACCUGUGAGCAUGGCAAGAACGCAGGAGCAGCCCUGUCCUCAGCAACAGUGGUAGCCAAGAUGUAACCAACCCUCAGAAUAUCCUGAAAUAAAAUAUCCACCAACGGGA